rnacentral:lncRNA from 1 species
UCUCUCUCCCCAGCUCCCUCUUUCUCCUCCAUUUUCAUACCUUCUUUUAUCAUCUUGUUAAUUCCCUUGUUAGCAAGAUAAUAGUAAGCUUUGGUAUGUGCUCAGUAGAAAUGUAUCUAAGACAUUUUCAUUUGAAAUCAUCUAUACUGCUCAGAAAUACAAGUCUCUGGAGAGGCAGCCCGAGGUCUCCUGAUAAGCUUCCUAAAGGUGAGUUUCAAGGAACUAAUCCAUAUUCGUCUACUCAGAUACAACAUCCAGCCAGCGGCCUGUUUUCCUUGAAUUUAUCUUUAGUGUUACCUGCUGUGUUUCGGCCUUUGACAUGUGGAGAUCAUGGCCCCCCUGCUUGGGAUGGACUGCAAGGGAUCUAACAUGAAGAAGACUGAGCCCAGGAAACAGACUGUGAGCACUCCCACCCCAGGACCUGGGCUAAGAAACAGAGUUUUGGAGUGAGAUGGAAGGAGAAUGGUAUGGAGUGUCCAUUCUUUAGGGAAGUGUGUCCUAGAACAAAAGCUCAGCCUUUGGUUUCCUCUCUCAUUCUCUGGUAAAAAAAAGGCCUCUAAGAAUAUAUGCAGAAUUUUUAGCGUGACAGUAUUAUUUUUUAUACAAGUUGGCACACUUUUGAGAGUGAAUGGAAACGUUAUUAAUAAUCACACCAGGGCAACAGGUAUAAACCAAGUCACCCUAAUACUAUACCAAGUGAUUUUCGUGCCAUAAACUCUCUCUCAAUGUUGGUCCUUCAUUUUAAUAACAGCUGUCUUUUCGUACUUGUUGCUUUCUGGGCACACCUUUACCAUACCCAGAGUUGACCUAUGUGAUCUCUUGCGUCCUUCUCAAUUACUUUCUUUAAAAAUUGGUUUUUUUAUUGGUUCAGUAUUUGGAUUAAAAAAAAAGCCUUUUGUUCUCUAAGGAUUGUUCACACAUUCCUUUAGUGGUACAUUUGGGAGAGAGAAAAAAGAAUAAAUUAGACAUAAAGUCAUGUCA